GGGUUGUGAGGUUAAGCGACUAAGCGUACACGGUGGAUGCCCUGGCAGUCAGAGGCGAUGAAGGACGUGCUAAUCUGCGAUAAGCGUCGGUAAGGUGAUAUGAACCGUUAUAACCGGCGAUUUCCGAAUGGGGAAACCCAGUGUGUUUCGACACACUAUCAUUAACUGAAUCCAUAGGUUAAUGAGGCGAACCGGGGGAACUGAAACAUCUAAGUACCCCGAGGAAAAGAAAUCAACCGAGAUUCCCCCAGUAGCGGCGAGCGAACGGGGAGGAGCCCA
rnacentral:rRNA from 1 species